AUAUAGUCGGUUACCUCGGGCGACCGAGGGGACGCCGUACGUCCGCGCCAAAACGUUCCGUAGGUGAACCUGCGGAAGGAUCAUUA
rnacentral:rRNA from 1 species